CCUACGGGAGGCAGCAGUGGGGAAUAUUGCACAAUGGGGGAAACCCUGAUGCAGCAACGCCGCGUGAGUGAAGAAGUAUUUCGGUAUGUAAAGCUCUAUCAGCAGGGAAGAAGAUGACGGUACCUGAAUAAGAAGCCCCGGCUAACUACGUGCCAGCAGCCGCGGUAAUACGUAGGGGGCGAGCGUUAUCCGGAUUCACUGGGUGUAAAGGGAGCGUAGACGGCCAAGCAAGCCAGGGGUGAAAGCCCGGGGCCCAACCCCGGGACUGCCCUUGGAACUGGAUGGCUGGAGUGCGGGAGGGGCAGGCGGAAUGCGUGGUGUAGCGGUGAAAUGCGUAGAUAUCAGGAGGAACACCGGCGGCGAAGGCGGCCUGCUGGAGCGCGACUGACGUUGAGGCUCGAAAGCGUGGGGAGCGAACAGGAUUAGAUACCCUAGUAGUC
rnacentral:rRNA from 1 species